rnacentral:rRNA from 1 species
UACGUAGGGUGCAAGCGUUAAUCGGAAUUACUGGGCGUAAAGCGCGCGCAGGCGGCUAUCCAAAUCAGUGGUGAAAGCCCAGAGCUCAACUCCGGAACUGCCAUUGAAACUGUUUAGCUUGAGGACGAGAGAGGUGAGUGGAAUUCCCAGUGUAGAGGUGAAAUUCGUAGAUAUUGGGAAGAACACCGGUGGCGAAGGCGGCUCACUGGCUCGUUUCUGACGCUCAGGCGCGAUAGCGUGGGGAUCAAACAGG